CUCUGUGUCAUUUUACACAGCGUGGGAAAGUUCUUUGGAAUUUUCCCACACUGUGUAAAAAUGACACAGAG